rnacentral:rRNA from 1 species
GACGAACGCUGGCGGCAUGCCUAACACAUGCAAGUCUAGGGGUAGCAAUACCACUGGCGCACGGGUGAGUAACACGUAGGUUAUCCGCCCCCAUCACAGACAUAACCCCGGGAAACCGGGGCUAAUAUCUGAUGAGGUCGCGAGAUCAAAGCUUCGGCGGAUGGGGAUGAGCCUGCGGCUGAUUAGCUAGUUGGUGAGGUAAUGGCUCACCAAGGCGACGAUCAGUAGCUGGUCUGAGAGGACGAACAGCCACACUGGAACUGAGACACGGUCCAGACUCCUACGGGAGGCAGCAGUGAGGAAUAUUGGUCAAUGGGAGCAAUCCUGAACCAGCAAUGCCGCGUGUGGGAUGACAGGGCUUCGCCUUGUAAACCACUGUCGGACGGGACGAAAGGAGGCCUCGGGCUCUGGGACGGUACCGUCAAAGGAAGGGUCGGCUAACUACGUGCCAGCAGCCGCGGUAAU